UGGGGAAUAUUGGUCAAUGGACGCAAGUCUGAACCAGCCAUGCCGCGUGCAGGAAGACGGCUCUAUGAGUUGUAAACUGCUUUUGUACGAGGGUAAACGCAGAUACGUGUAUCUGUCUGAAAGUAUCGUACGAAUAAGGAUCGGCUAACUCCGUGCCAGCAGCCGCGGUAAUACGGAGGAUUCAAGCGUUAUCCGGAUUUAUUGGGUUUAAAGGGUGCGUAGGCGGUUGGAUAAGUUAGAGGUGAAAUCCCGGGGCUCAACUCCGGAAUUGCCUCUGAUACUGUUCGGCUAGAGAUCAGUUGCGGUAGGCGGAAUGUAUGGUGUAGCGGUGAAAUGCUUAGAGAUCAUACAGAACACCGAUUGCGAAGGCAGCUUACCAAGCUGAAUCUGACGUUGAGGCACGAAAGCGUGGGUAGCAAACAGG
rnacentral:rRNA from 1 species